rnacentral:rRNA from 1 species
GGCCGCGGGAAUUCGAUUUUCCGGUUGAUCCUGCCGGAGGUCACUGCUAUCGGGGUUCGAUUAAGCCAUGCGAGUUGAGAGGGUUAAGACCCUCGGCGGACUGCUCAGUAACACGUGGAUAACCUGCCCUAAGGUGGAGGAUAACCCCGGGAAACUGGGGAUAAUACUCCAUAGGUUAAAGGUACUGGAAUGUUCUUUAACCGAAAGUUCCGGCGCCUUAGGAUGGAUCUGCGGCCGAUUAGGUUGUUGUUGGGGUAGUGGCCCAACAAGCCUGUAAUCGGUACGGAUUGUGGGAGCAAGAGCCCGGAGAUGGAAUCUGAGACACGAUUCCAGGCCCUACGGGGCGCAGCAGGCGCGAAAACUUUACAAUGCAGGAAACUGUGAUAAGGGAACCCCGAGUGCCCGUAUAUGCGGGCUGUCCGGAUGUUUAAAACGCAUCCGAAGAAAGGGCCGGGCAAGACCGGUGCCAGCCGCCGCGGUAAUACCGGCGGCUCGAGUGGUGGCCACUUUUAUUGGGCUUAAAGCGUUCGUAGCUUGAAUAAUAAGUCUCUUGGGAAAUCUGCAGGCUUAACCUGCAGGCGUUUAAGAGAAACUGUUGUUCUAGGAACCGGAAGAGGUGAGAGGUACUCCGGGGGUAGGA